AUUUUUAUAAAACAUCUAGGCAAAUAUGCACUCUUUCUAAGUUAUAAAGUAGAAAUGUUUAUAAAUAUGUGAAAUCCAGUAGUUUGUAUUAAAAGAAAUUCAUUUAUAAGCACAGGAGGAAAAUAGCAAAAUCAAUAUCACUUCGUAUAAAUUAAAGAGUUACAAGAACCCAAUGUCCUUUUUGUUUUCUCCAAUCAGGAUGGAGUAACCAAGAGCCCAGAAAAGCGCUCUUCUCUCCCAAGACCUUCCUCCAUUCUUCCUCCUCGGAGAGGUGUGUCAGGAGACAGAGAUGAGAAUUCCUUCUCUCUCAACAGUUCUAUCUCUUCUUCAGCACGGCGGACCACCAGGUCAGAGCCAAUUCGCAGAGCAGGGAAGAGUGGUACCUCAACACCCACUACCCCUGGGUCUACUGCCAUCACUCCUGGCACCCCACCAAGUUAUUCUUCACGCACACCAGGCACUCCUGGAACCCCUAGCUAUCCCAGGACCCCUCACACACCAGGAACCCCCAAGUCUGCCAUCUUGGUGCCGAGUGAGAAGAAGGUCGCCAUCAUACGUACUCCUCCAAAAUCUCCUGCGACUCCCAAGCAGCUU
rnacentral:sRNA from 1 species